AUUUACAUAUUAUAACAAUUAAAAUUGAUUUCCAAUCAAAAAAUCUAGAUUCACUAGUGUAAAUA
rnacentral:tRNA from 1 species